UCCGUCGUCGAGAGGGAGACAGCCCAGAUCGUCGUCUAAGGUCCCGAAGCGUGUGCUAAGUGGGAAAGGAUGUGGAGUCGCAUAGACAGCCAGGAGGUUGGCUCAGAAGCAGCCAUCCUUGAAAGAGUGCGUAACAGCUCACUGGUCUAGUGGUUCCGCGCCGACAAUGUAGCGGGGCUCAAGCACACCACCGAAGACGCGGCAACAGUUUUUGCUGUUGGGUAGGAGAGCGUCCCGCGUGGGGCGAAGCGGCCGGGGAACCGUGCCGUGGACCGCGCGGGAGUGAGAAUGCAGACAUGAGUAGCGAGAGACGGGUGAGGAUCCCGUCCGCUGGAUGACCAAGGGUUCCGGGGCCACGUUCGUCGUCCCCGGGUGAGUCGGGUCCUAAGGCGAGGCCGACAGGCGUAGUCGAAUGGAUGAACGGGUGGAUAUUCCCGUACCGGCGGCGUACCGUAAGAGCCGAACGGAUGAGUACUAACCUCCGGUCGCGUGGCGUCGUUCCCUUCGGGGUUCGGGGUCCGCGGUCGUUGGGAGCGUAGUCCUGGUAGGCUAGCGCACAGGGGUGACACGGAAUGGGAGCCGGCCGCGGAGGUGGUUUUCCGUGGUCAAGCACGCAGCCCGUCCCAUAGGCAAAUCCGUGGGACGCAUAGGGUGAGGUGUGAUGAUGGGCGUCUUUUAUGGCGCGAUAUCCGGUGGUCCAGGCCGUCGAGAAAAGCCUCGGCGCGAGGGGCGUCGCCGCCCGUACCCCAAACCGACACUGGUGGUCAGGUAGAGAAUACCAAGGCGAUCGAGCGAAUCCUGGUCAAGGAACUCGGCAAAUCACUCCCGUGCCUUCGGUAUAAGGGAGACCCCCGGGCGUGAAGAGGCUUGCCCUCGGAGCGUUGGGGGGUGGCACAGACCAGGGGGUAGCGACUGUUUACCAAAAACACAGGUGCAUGCGAAGGCGCAAGCCGCUGUAUAUGCACUGACGCCUGCCCGGUGCCGGAAGGUUAAGAGGAUCCGUCAGUCCCUUUUGGGGUGAAGCGGUGAAUUCAAGCCCCGGUAAACGGCGGUGGUAACUAUAACCAUCCUAAGGUAGCGAAAUUCCUUGUCGGGUAAGUUCCGACCUGCACGAAUGGCGUAACGACUUCCCCACUGUCUCGACCAGGAGCUCGGCGAAAUUGCAGUACGAGUAAAGAUGCUCGUUAAGCGCAGAAGGACGAAAAGACCCCGGGACCUUUACUAUACCUUGGUAUUGGCGUUAGGCGCGGAUUGUGUAGCAUAGGCGGGAGGCUUCGAAGCAUGGGCGCCAGCCCGUGUGGAGCCGCAAGGUGAAAUACCGCUCUGUUCUCGUUUGACGUCUCACCUCGAACAGUCAUCCUGUUCAGGGACAGUGCCUGGCGGGUAGUUUAACUGGGGCGGUUGCCUCCCAAAGAGUAACGGAGGCGCUCAAAGGUCCGCUCAGCCCGGUUGGCAAUCGGGUUUCGAGUGUAAUCGCACAAGCGGGCUUGACUGCGAGAACGACGGUUCGGGCAGGGACGAAAGUCGGAGAUAGUGAUCCGGUGCCGGCGCACGGGCGCGGCAUCGCUCAACGGAUAAAAGGUACCCCGGGGAUAACAGGCUGAUCAUUCCCAAGAGUCCAUAUCGACGGGAUGGUUUGGCACCUCGAUGUCGGCUCGUCGCAUCCUGGGGCUGGAGCAGGUCCCAAGGGUUCGGCUGUUCGCCGAUUAAAGCGGCACGCGAGCUGGGUUCAGAACGUCGUGAGACAGUUUGGUCUCUAUCCUCUGCGCUCGUUGGAAUCCUGAGGAGGCCUGCCCAUAGUACGAGAGGACCUGGGUGGACGGACCUCUGGUAUGCCGGUUGUCGCGCCAGCGGCAUGGCCGGUUGGCUACGUUCGGGAGGGAUAACCGCUGAAAGCAUCUAAGCGGGAAGCCUGCUCCAAGAUAAGCAUUCCGUGGAACCUUCGAGUUCCUGUAGUCCCCAUGCAGA
rnacentral:rRNA from 1 species